AUGGCCAUAUCAUGUUGAAAUACUGGUUCUUGUCCAACCACUGAAGUUAAGCAAUGUUGAGUCUGGUCAUUACCUAAAUGGGUGACUGCUUGGGAAUACCAGGUGCUGUAAG